AGAGUUUGAUCCUGGCUCAGAUUGAACGCUGGCGGCAUGCCUUACACAUGCAAGUCGAACGGCAGCACGGGAGCAAUCCUGGUGGCGAGUGGCGAACGGGUGAGUAAUAUAUCGGAACGUGCCCAGUCGUGGGGGAUAACGUAGAGAAAUUUACGCUAAUACCGCAUACGAUCUAAGGAUGAAAGCGGGGGACCGUAAGGCCUCGCGCGAUUGGAGCGGCUGAUAUCAGAUUAGGUUGUUGGUGAGGUAAAAGCUCACCAAGCCGACGAUCUGUAGCUGGUUUGAGAGAACGACCAGCCACACUGGGACUGAGACACGGCCCAGACUCCUACGGGAGGCAGCAGUGGGGAAUUUUGGACAAUGGGCGAAAGCCUGAUCCAGCAAUGCCGCGUGCAGGAAGAAGGCCUUCGGGUUGUAAACU
rnacentral:rRNA from 1 species